UGAGGUUGUGUUAAAAGCAGUUGCUCUUAAGGCCUCAGUUUGGAUAGGAAUCUUUUUUGGGAGGGCUGCAAUACAGUGUGCCAAAAUACGAGGUCUCUAAACUGGCAAGAUACGUAGUGUACAAAGGUGUCAUUGUACAUGUACAGUAAGUUGUAUUUUUUGAGAUAUGGGGGACAACGUGGAAGAGCACUGACAAUGUCCUUUUUCAUCAAAGCCACAAGCCUGACAUGGCACCCCCACCGUGACCAAGCUUCACUAUACAGAGAGGACACCAGAUGUUCAAAGAGUGUAUUCCCUGACCGGGAAUCGAACCCGGGCCGCGGCGGUGAGAGCGCCGAAUCCUAACCACUAGACCACCAGGGAGUUGGUCAUGUUUUUUCUAGAGCAUCUGUGAAUUUGAUAUAUCUUUGUUUGCAGUCGAAUGAGGUUGCAUUCAAAGCUUUCGCUCUUAAGGCCUCAGUUUGGAUAUGAAUCUUUUUUGGGAGGGCUGCAAUACAGUGUGCCAAAAUACAAGGUCUCUAAACUGGCAAGAUACAGUAGUGCACAAAGGUGUCAUUGUACAUGUACAGUAAGUUGUAUUUUUUGAGAUAUGGGGGACAACGUGGAAGAGCACUGACAAUGUCCUUUUUCAUCAAAGCCACAAGCCUGACAUGGCACACCCACCGUGACCAAUUUUCACUAUACAGAGAGGACACCAGAUGUUCAAAGAGUGUAUUCCCUGACCGGGAAUCGAACCCGGGCCGCGGCGGUGAGAGCACCGAAUCCUAACCACUAGACCACCAGGGAGUUGGUCAUGUUUUUUCUAGAGGAUCUUUGAAUUUGAUAUAUCUUUGUAUGCAGUCGAAUGAGGUUGUGUUCAAAGCAGUUGCUCUUAAGGCCUCAGUUUGGAUAUGAAUCUUUUUUGGAAGGGCUGCAAUACAGUGUGCCAAAAUACGAGGUCUCUACACUGGCAAGAUACGGUAGUGUACAAAGGUGUCAUUGUACAUGUACAGUAAGUUGUAUUUUUUGAGAUAUGGGGGUCAAUGUGGAAGAGCACUGUGAAUGUCCUUUUUCAUCAAAGCCACAAGCCUGACAUGGCACCCCCAUCGUUACCAAGCUUCACUAUACAGAGAGGACACCAGAUGUUCAAAGAGUGUAUUCCCUGACCGGGAAUCGAACCCCGGCCGCGGCGGUGAAAACGCCGAAUCCUAACCACUAGACCACCAGGGAGUUGGUCAUGGGUUUUCUAGAGCAUCUGUGAAUUUGAUAUAUCUUUGUAUGCAGUCGAAUGAGGUUGUGUUCAAAGCAGUUGCUCUUAAGGCCUCAGUUUGGAUAUGAAUCUUUUUUGGGAGGGCUGCAAUACAGUGUGCCAAAAUAUGAGGUCUCUAAAGUGGCAAGAUACAGUAGUGUACAUAGGUGUCAUUGUACAUGUACAGUAAGUUGUAUUUUUUGAGAUUUGGGUGACAACGUGGAAGAGCACUGACAAUGUCCUUUUUCAUCAAAGCCACAAGCCUGACAUGGCACCCCCACCGUGACCAAGCUUCAGUAUUCAGAGAGGACACCAGAUGUUCAAAGAGUGUAUUCCCUGACCGGGAAUCGAACCCGGGCCGCGGCGGUGAGAGCGCCGAAUCCUAACCACUAGACCACCAGGGAGUUGGUCAUGUUUUUUCUAGAGCAUCUGUGAAUUUGAUAUAUCUUUGUAUGCAGUCGAAUGAGGUUGUGUUCAAAGCAGUUGCUCUUAAGGCCUCAGUUUGGAUAUGAAUCUUUUUUGGGAGGGCUGCAAUACAGUGUGCCAAAAUACACAGUCUGUAUACUGGCAAGAUACAGUAGUGCACAAAGGUGUCAUUGUACAUGUACAGUAAGUUGUAUUUUUUGAGAUAUGGGGGACAAUUUGGAGGAGCACUGACAAUGUCCUUUUUCAUCAAAGCCACAAGCCUGACAUGGCACCCCCACCGUGACCAAGCUUCACUAUACAGAGAGGACACCAGAUGUUCAAAGACUGUAUUCCCUGACCAGCAAUCGAACCCGGGCCGCGGCGGUGAAAACGCCGAAUCCUAACCACUAGACCACCAGGGAGUUGGUCAUGUUUUUUCUAGAGCAUCUGUGAAUUUGAUAUAUCUUUGUAUGCAGUCGAAUGAGGUUGUGUUAAAAGCAGUUGCUCUUAAGGCCUCAGUUUGGAUAUGAAUCUUUUUUGGGAGGGCUGCAAUACAGUGUGCCAAAAUGCGAGGUCUGUAAACUGGCAAGAUACGGUAGUGUACAAAGGUGUCAUUGUACAUGUACAGUAAGUUGUAUUUUUUGAGAUAUGGGGGACAACGUGGAAGAGCACUGACAAUGUCCUUUUUCAUCAAAGCCACAAGCCUGACAUGGCACCCCCACCGUGACCAAGCUUCACUAUACAGAGAGGACACCAGAUGUUCAAAGAGUGUAUUCCCUGACCGGGAAUCGAAACCGGGCCGCGGCGGUGAGAGCGCCGAAUCCUAACCACUAGACCACCAGGGAGUUGGUCAUGUUCUUUCUAGAGCAUCUGUGAAUUUGAUAUAUCUUUGUAUGCAGUCGAAUGAGGUUGCAUUCAAAGCUUUCGCUCUUAAGGCCUCAGUUUGGAUAUGAAUUUUUUUUGGGAGGGCUGCAAUACAGUGUGCCAAAAUACAAGGUCUCUAAACUGGCAAGAUACAGUAGUGCACAAAGGUGUCAUUGUACAUGUACAGUAAGUUGUAUUUUUUGAGAUAUGGGGGACAAUUUGGAAGAGCACUGACAAUGUCCUUUUUCAUCAAAGCCACAAGCCUGACAUGGCACCCCCACCGUGACCAAGCUUCACUAUACAGAGAGGACACCAGAUGUUCAAAGAGUGUAUUCCCUGACCGGGAAUCGAACCCGGGCCGCGGCGUUGAAAACGCCGAAUCCUAACCACUAGACCACCAGGGAGUUGGUCAUGUUUUUUCUAGAGCAUCUUUGAAUUUGAUAUAUCUUUGUAUGCAGUCGAAUGAGGUUGUGUUCAAAGCAGUUGCUCUUAAGGCCUCAGUUUGGAUAUGAAUCUUUUUUGGGAGGGCUGCAAUACAGUGUGCCAAAAUACAAGGUCUCUAAACUGGCAAGAUACAACAGUGUACAAAGGUGUCAUUGUACAUGUACAGUAAGUUGUAUUUUUUGAGAUAUGGGGGACAACGUGGAAGGGCACUGACAAUGUCCUUUUUCAUCAAAGCCACAAGCCUGACAUGGCACCCCCACCGUGACCAAGCUUCACUAUACAGAGAGGACACCAGAUGUUCAAAGAGUGUAUUCCCUGACCGGGAAUCGAACCCGGGCCGCGGCGGUGAGAGCGCCGAAUCCUAACCACUAGACCACCAGGGAGUUGGUCAUGUUUUUUCUAGAGCAUCUGUGAAUUUGAUAUAUCUUUGUUUGCAGUCGAAUGAGGUUGCAUUCAAAGCUUUCGCUCUUAAGGCCUCAGUUUGGAUAUGAAUUUUUUUUGGGAGGGCUGCAAUACAGUGUGCCAAAAUACAAGGUCUCUAAACUGGCAAGAUACAGUAGUGCACAAAGGUGUCAUUGUCCUUUUUCAUCAAAGCCACAAGCCUGACAUGGCACCCCCACAGUGACCAAUUUUUACUAUACAGAGAGGACACCAGAUGUUCAAAGAGUGUAUUCCCUGACCAGCAAUCGAACCCGGGCCGCGGCGGUGAAAACGCCGAAUCCUAACCACUAGACCACCAGGGAGUUGGUCAUGUUUUUUCUAGAGCAUCUGUGAAUUUGAUAUAUCUUUGUAUGCAGUCGAAUGAGGUUGUGUUAAAAGCAGUUGCUCUUAAGGCCUCAGUUUGGAGAUGAAUCUUUUUUGGGAGGGCUGCAAUACAGUGUGCCAAAAUAUGAGGUCUCUAAAGUGGCAAGAUACAGUAGUGUACAAAGGUGUCAUUGUACAUGUACAGUAAGUUGUAUUUUUUGAGAUUUGGGUGACAACGUGGAAGAGCACUGACAAUGUCCUUUUUCAUCAAAGCCACAAGCCUGACAUGGCACCCCCACCGUGACCAAGCUUCAGUAUUCAGAGAGGACACCAGAUGUUCAAAGAGUGUAUUCCCUGACCGGGAAUCGAACCCGGGCCGCGGCGGUAAAACCGCCGAAUCCUAACCACUAGACCACCAGGGAGUUGGUCAUGUUUUUUCUAGAGCAUCUUUGAAUUUGAUAUAUCUUUGUAUGCAGUCGAAUGAGGUUGUGUUCAAAGCAGUUGCUCUUAAGGCCUCAGUUUGGAUAUGAAUCUUUUUUGGGAGGGCUGCAAUACAGUGUGCCAAAAUACGAGGUCUCUAAACUGGCAAGAUACGGUAGUGUACAAAGGUGUCAUUGUACAUGUACAGUAAGUUGUAUUUUUUGAGAUAUGGGGGACAACGUGGAAGAGCACUGACAAUGUCCUUUUUCAUCAAAGCCACAAGCCUGACAUGGCACCCCCACCGUGACCAAGCUUCACUAUACAGAGAGGACACCAGAUGUUCAAAGAGUGUAUUCCCUGACCGGGAAUCGAACCCGGGCCGCGGCGGUGAGAGCGCCGAAUCCUAACCACUAGACCACCAGGGAGUUGGUCAUGUUUUUUCUAGAGCAUCUGUGAAUUUGAUAUAUCUUUGUAUGCAGUCGAAUGAGGUUGUGUUAAAGCAGUUGCUCUUAAGGCCUCAGUUUGGAUAUGAAUCUUUUUUGGGAGGGCUGCAAUACAGUGUGCCAAAAUACGAGGUCUCUAAACUGGCAAGAUAUGGUAGUGUACAAAGGUGUCAUUGUACAUGUACAGUAAGUUGUAUUUUUGAGAUAUGGGGGACACACGUGGAAGAGCACUGACAAUGUCCUUUUUCAUCAAAGCCACAAGCCUGACAUGGCACCCCCACCGUGACCAAGCUUCACUAUACAGAGAGGACACCAGAUGUUCAAAGAGUGUAUUCCCUGACCGGGAAUCGAACCCGGGCCGCGGCGGUGAAAACGCCGAAUCCUAACCACUAGACCACCAGGGAGUUGGUCAUGUUUUUUCUAGAGCAUCUGUGAAUUUGAUAUAUCUUUGUAUGCAGUCGAAUGAGGUUGUGUUAAAAGCAGUUGCUCUUAAGGCCUCAGUUUGGAUAUGAAUCUUUUUUGGGAGGGCUGCAAUACAGUGUGCCAAAAUACGAGGUCUCUAAACUGGCAAGAUACGGUAGUGUACAAAGGUGUCAUUGUACAUGUACAGUAAGUUGUAUUUUUUGAGAUAUGGGGGACAACGUGGAAGAGCACUAACAAUGUCCUUUUUCAUCAAAGCCACAAGCCUGACAUGGCACCCCCACCGUGACCAAGCUUCACUAUACAGAGAGGACACCAGAUGUUCAAAGACUGUAUUCCCUGACCGGGAAUCGAACCCGGGCCGCGGCGGUGAAAACGCCGAAUCCUAACCACUAGACCACCAGGGAGUUGGUCAUGUUUUUUCUAGAGCAUCUGUGAAUUUGAUAUAUCUUUGUAUGCAGUCGAAUGAGGUUGUGUUAAAAGCAGUUGCUCUUAAGGCCUCAGUUUGGAUAUGAAUCUUUUUUGGGAGGGCUGCAAUACAGUGUGCCAAAAUAUGAGGUCUCUAAAGUGGCAAGAUACAGUAGUGUACAUAGGUGUCAUUGUACAUGUACAGUAAGUUGUAUUUUUUGAGAUUUGGGUGACAACGUGGAAGAGCACUGACAAUGUCCUUUUUCAUCAAAGCCACAAGCCUGACAUGGCACCCCCACCGUGACCAAGCUUCAGUAUUCAGAGAGGACACCAGAUGUUCAAAGAGUGUAUUCCCUGACCGGGAAUCGAACCCGGGCCGCGGCGGUGAAAACGCCGAAUCCUAACCACUAGACCACCAGGGAGUUGGUCAUGUUUUUUCUAGAGCAUCUGUGAAUUUGAUAUAUCUUUGUUUGCAGUCGAAUGAGGUUGUGUUAAAAGCAGUUGCUCUUAAGGCCUCAGUUUGGAUAUGAAUCUUUUUUGGGAGGGCUGCAAUACAGUGUGCCAAAAUACACGGUCUGUAAACUGGCAAGAUACAGUAGUGCACAAAGGUGUCAUUGUACAUGUACAGUAAGUUGUAUUUUUUGAGAUAUGGGGGACAAUUUGGAGCAGCACUGACAAUGUCCUUUUUCAUCAAAGCCACAAGCCUGACAUGGCACCCCCACCGUGACCAAGCUUCACUAUACAGAGAGGACACCAGAUGUUCAGAGACUGUAUUCCCUGACCGGGAAUCGAACCCGGGCCGCGGCGGUGAAAACGCCGAAUCCUAACCACUAGACCACCAGGGAGUUGGUCAUGUUUUUUCUAGAGCAUCUGUGAAUUUGAUAUAUCUUUGUAUGCAGUCGAAUGAGGUUGUGUUAAAAGCAGUUGCUCUUAAGGCCUCAGUUUGGAUAUGAAUCUUUUUUGGGAGGGCUGCAAUACAGUGUGCCAAAAUGCGAGGUCUCUAAACUGGCAAGAUACGGUAGUGUACAAAGGUGUCAUUGUACAUGUACAGUAAGUUGUAUUUUUUGAGAUAUGGGGGACAACGUGGAAGAGCACUGACAAUGUCCUUUUUCAUCAAAGCCACAAGCCUGACAUGGCACCCCCACCGUGACCAAGCUUCACUAUACAGAGAGGACACCAGAUGUUCAAAGAGUGUAUUCCCUGACCGGGAAUCGAAACCGGGCCGCGGCGGUGAGAGCGCCGAAUCCUAACCACUAGACCACCAGGGAGUUGGUCAUGUUCUUUCUAGAGCAUCUGUGAAUUUGAUAUAUCUUUGUAUGCAGUCGAAUGAGGUUGCAUUCAAAGCUUUCGCUCUUAAGGCCUCAGUUUGAAUAUGAAUUUUUUUUGGGAGGGCUGCAAUACAGUGUGCCAAAAUACAAGGUCUCUAAACUGGCAAGAUACAGUAGUGCAAAAAGGUGUCAUUGUACAUGUACAGUAAGUUGUAUUUUUGGAGAUAUGGGGGACAAUUUGGAAGAGCACUGACAAUGUCCUUUUUCAUCAAAGCCACAAGCCUGACAUGGCACCCCCACCGUGACCAAGCUUCACUAUACAGAGAGGACACCAGAUGUUCAAAGAGUGUAUUCCCUGACCGGGAAUCGAACGCGGGCCGCGGCGUUGAAAACGCCGAAUCCUAACCACUAGACCACCAGGGAGUUGGUCAUGUUUUUUCUAGAGCAUCUUUGAAUUUGAUAUAUCUUUGUAUGCAGUCGAAUGAGGUUGUGUUCAAAGCAGUUGCUCUUAAGGCCUCAGUUUGGAUAUGAAUCUUUUUUGGGAGGGCUGCAAUACAGUGUGCCAAAAUACAAGGUCUCUAAACUGGCAAGAUACAACAGUGUACAAAGGUGUCAUUGUACAUGUACAGUAAGUUGUAUUUUUUGAGAUAUGGGGGACAACGUGGAAGGGCACUGACAAUGUCCUUUUUCAUCAAAGCCACAAGCCUGACAUGGCACCCCCACCGUGACCAAGCUUCACUAUACAGAGAGGACACCAGAUGUUCAAAGAGUGUAUUCCCUGACCGGGAAUCGAACCCGGGCCGCGGCGGUGAAAACGCCGAAUCCUAACCACUAGACCACCAGGGAGUUGGUCAUGUUCUUUCUAGAGCAUCUGUGAAUUUGAUAUAUCUUUGUAUGCAGUCGAAUGAGGUUGUGUUAAAGCAGUUGCUCUUAAGGCCUCAGUUUGGAUAUGAAUCUUUUUUGGGAGGGCUGCAAUACAGUGUGCCAAAAUACGAGGUCUCUAAACUGGCAAGAUAUGGUAGUGUACAAAGGUGUCAUUGUACAUGUACAGUAAGUUGUAUUUUUUGAGAUAUGGGGGACAACGUGGAAGAGCACUGACAAUGUCCUUUUUCAUCAAAGCCACAAGCCUGACAUGGCACCCCCACCGUGACCAAGCUUCACUAUACAGAGAGGACACCAGAUGUUCAAAGAGUGUAUUCCCUGACCGGGAAUCGAACCCGGGCCGCGGCGGUGAAAACGCCGAAUCCUAACCACUAGACCACCAGGGAGUUGGUCAUGUUUUUUCUAGAGCAUCUGUGAAUUUGAUAUAUCUUUGUAUGCAGUCGAAUGAGGUUGUGUUAAAAGCAGUUGCUCUUAAGGCCUCAGUUUGGAUAUGAAUUUUUUUGGGAGGGCUGCAAUACAGUGUGCCAAAAUACGAGGUCUCUAAACUGGCAAGAUACGGUAGUGUACAAAGGUGUCAUUGUACAUGUACAGUAAGUUGUAUUUUUUGAGAUAUGGGGGACAACGUGGAAGAGCACUGACAAUGUCCUUUUUCAUCAAAGCCACAAGCCUGACAUGGCACCCCCACCGUGAACAAGCUUCACUAUACAGAGAGGACACCAGAUGUUCAAAGAGUGUAUUCCCUGACCGGGAAUCGAACCCGGGCCGCGGCGGUGAGAGCGCCGAAUCCUAACCACUAGACCACCAGGGAGUUGGUCAUGUUUUUUCUAGAGCAUCUGUGAAUUUGAUAUAUCUUUGUAUGCAGUCGAAUGAGGUUGCAUUCAAAGCUUUCGCUCUUAAGGCCUCAGUUUGGAUAUGAAUUUUUUUUGGGAGGGCUGCAAUACAGUGUGCCAAAAUACAAGGUCUCUAAAAUGGCAAGAUACAGUAGUGCACAAAGGUGUCAUUGUACAUGUACAGUAAGUUGUAUUUUUUGAGAUAUGGGGGACAACAUGGAAGAGCACUGACAAUGUCCUUUUUCAUCAAAGCCACAAGCCUGACAUGGCACCCCCACAGUGACCAAUUUUUACUAUACAGAGAGGACACCAGAUGUUCAAAGAGUGUAUUCCCUGACCAGCAAUCGAACCCGGGCCGCGGCGGUGAGAGCGCCGAAUCCUAACCACUAGACCACCAGGGAGUUGGUCAUGUUUUUUCUAGAGGAUCUUUGAAUUUGAUAUAUCUUUGUAUGCAGUUGAAUGAGGUUGCGUUCAAAGCAGUUGCUCUUAAGGCCUCAGUUUGGAUAUGAAUCUUUUUUGGAAGGGCUGCAAUACAGUGUGCCAAAAUACGAGGUCUCUAAACUGGCAAGAUACGGUAGUGUACAAAGGUGUCAUUGUACAUGUACAGUAAGUUGUAUUUUUUGAGAUAUGGGGGACAAUGUGGAAGAGCACUGUCAAUGUCCUUUUUCAUCAAAGCCACAAGCCUGACAUGGCACCCCCACCGUGACCAAGCUUCACUAUACAGAGAGGACACCAGAUGUUCAAAGAGUGUAUUCCCUGACCGGGAAUCGAACCCGGGCCGCGGCGGUGAGAGCGCCGAAUCCUAACAACUAGACCACCAGGGAGUUGGUCAUGUUUUUUCUAGAGCAUCUGUGAAUUUGAUAUAUCUUUGUUUGCAGUCGAAUGAGGUUGUGUUCAAAGCAGUUGCUCUUAAGGCCUCAGUUUGGAUAUGAAUCUUUUUUGGGAGGGCUGCAAUACAGUGUGCCAAAAUACAAGGUCUCUAAACCGGCAAGAUACAACAGUGUACAAACGUGUCAUUGUACAUGUACAGUAAGUUGUAUUUUUUGAGAUAUGGGGGACAACGUGGAAGGGCACUGACAAUGUCCUUUUUCAUCAAAGCCACAAGCCUGACAUGGCACCCCCACCGUGACCAAGCUUCACUAUACAGAGAGGACACCAGAUGUUCAAUGAGUGUAUUCCCUGACCGGGAAUCGAACCCGGGCCGCGGCGGUGAAAACGCCGAAUCCUAACCACUAGACCACCAGGGAGUUGGUCAUGUUUUUUCUAGAGCAUCUGUGAAUUUGAUAUAUCUUUGUAUGCAGUCGAAUGAGGUUGUGUUCAAAGCAGUUGCUCUUAAGGCCUCAGUUUGGAUAUGAAUCUUUUUUGGGAGGGCUGCAAUACAGUGUGCCAAAAUACAAGGUCUCUAAACUGGCAAGAUACAGUAGUGCACAAAGGUGUCAUUGUACAUGUACAGUAAGUUGUAUUUUUUGAGAUAUGGGGGACAAUUUGGAAGAGCACUGACAAUGUCCUUUUUCAUCAAAGCCACAAGCCUGACAUGGCACCCCCACCGUGACCAAGCUUCAGUAUUCAGAGAGGACAGCAGAUGUUCAAAGAGUGUAUUCCCUGACCGGGAAUCGAACCCGGGCCGCGGCGGUGAGAGCGCCGAAUCCUAACCACUAGACCACCAGGGAGUUGGUCAUGUUUUUUCUAGAGCAUCUGUGAAUUUGAUAUAUCUUUGUAUGCAGUCGAAUGAGGUUGUGUUCAAAGCAGUUGCUCUUAAGGCCUCAGUUUGGAUAUGAAUCUUUUUUGGGAGGGCUGCAAUACAGUGUGCCAAAAUAAGCGAUCUUUAAAGUGGCAAGAUUCAACAGUGUACAAAGGUGUCAUUGUACAUGUACAGUAAGUUGUAUUUUUUGAGAUAUGGGGGACAACGUGGAAGAGCACUGACAAUGUCCUUUUUCAUCAAAGCCACAAGCCUGACAUGGCACCCCCACCGUGACCAAGCUUCAGUAUUCAGAGAGGACAGCAGAUGUUCAAAGAGUGUAUUCCCUGACCGGGAAUCGAACCCGGGCCGCGGCGGUGAGAGCGCCGAAUCCUAACCACUAGACCACCAGGGAGUUGGUCAUGUUUUUUCUAGAGCAUCUGUGAAUUUGAUAUAUCUUUGUAUGCAGUCGAAUGAGGUUGUGUUCAAAGCAGUUGCUCUUAAGGCCUCAGUUUGGAUAUGAAUCUUUUUUGGGAGGGCUGCAAUACAGUGUGCCAAAAUACAAGGUCUCUAAACUGGCAAGAUACAACAGUGUACAAAGGUGUCAUUGUACAUGUACAGUAAGUUGUAUUUUUUGAGAUAUGGGGGACAACGUGGAAGGGCACUGACAAUGUCCUUUUUCAUCAAAGCCACAAGCCUGACAUGGCACCCCCACCGUGACCAAGCUUUACUAUACAGAGAGGACACCAGAUGUUCAAAGAGUGUAUUCCCUGACCGGGAAUCGAACCCGGGCCGCGGCGGUGAAAACGCCGAAUCCUAACCACUAGACCACCAGGGAGUUGGUCAUGUUUUUUCUAGAGCAUCUGUGAAUUUGAUAUAUCUUUGUAUGCAGUCGAAUGAGGUUGUGUUCAAAGCAGUUGCUCUUAAGGCCUCAGUUUGGAUAUGAAUCUUUUUUGGGAGGGCUGCAAUACAGUGUGCCAAAAUACGAGGUCUCUAAACUGGCAAGAUACGGUAGUGUACAAAGGUGUCAUUGUACAUGUACAGUAAGUUGUAUUUUUUGAGAUAUGGGGGACAACGUGGAAGAGCACUGACAGUGUCCUUUUUCAUCAAAGCCACAAGCCUGACAUGGCACCCCCACCGUGACAGAGCUUCACUAUACAGAGAGGACACCAGAUGUUCAAAGAGUGUAUUCCCUGACCGGGAAUCGAACCCGGGCCGCGGCGGUGAGAGCGCCGAAUCCUAACCACUAGACCACCAGGGAGUUGGUCAUGUUUUUUCUAGAGCAUCUGUGAAUUUGAUAUAUCUUUGUUUGCAGUCGAAUGAGGUUGCAUUCAAAGCUUUCGCUCUUAAGGCCUCAGUUUGGAUAUGAAUUUUUUUUGGGAGGGCUGCAAUACAGUGUGCCAAAAUCCAAGGUCUCUAAACUGGCAAGAUACAGUAGUGCACAAAGGUGUCAUUGUACAUGUACAGUAAGUUGUAUUUUUUGAGAUAUGGGGGACAAUUUGGAAGAGCACUGACAAUGUCCUUUUUCAUCAGAGCCACAAGCCUGACAUGGCACCCCCACCGUGACCAAGCUUCACUAUACAGAGAGGACACCAGAUGUUCAAAGAGUGUAUUCCCUGACCGGGAAUCGAACCCGGGCCGCGGCGGUGAAAACGCCGAAUCCUAACCACUAGACCACCAGGGAGUUGGUCAUGUUUUUUCUAGAGCAUCUGUGAAUUUGAUAUAUCUUUGUUUGCAGUCGAAUGAGGUUGCAUUCAAAGCUUUCGCUCUUAAGGCCUCAGUUUGGAUAUGAAUUUUUUUUGGGAGGGCUGCAAUACAGUGUGCCAAAAUACGAGGUCUCUAAACUGGCAAGAUACAGUAGUGUACAAAGGUGUCAUUGUACAUGUACAGUAAGUUGUAUUUUUUGAGAUAUGGGGGACAAUGUGGACGAGCACUGACAAUGUCCUUUUUCAUCAAAGCCACAAGCCUGACAUGGCACCCCCACCGUGACCAAGCUUCACUAUACGGAGAGGACACGAGAUGUUCAAAGAGUGUAUUCCCUGACCGGGAAUCGAACCCGGGCCGCGGCGGUGAGAGCGCCGAAUCCUAACCACUAGACCACCAGGGAGUUGGUCAUGUUUUUUCUAGAGCAUCUGUGAAUUUGAUAUAUCUUUGUUUGCAGUCGAAUGAGGUUGCGUUCAAAGCAGUUGCUCUUAAGGCCUCAGUUUGGAUAUGAAUCUUUUUUGGGAGGGCUGCAAUACAGUGUGCCAAAAUAAGAGGUCUCUAAACUGGCAAGAUACAAUAGUGUACAAAGGUGUCAUUGUACAUGUACAGUAAGUUGUAUUUUUUGAGAUAUGGGGGACAACGUGGAAGAGGACUGACAAUGUCCUUUUUCAUCAAAGCCACAAGCCUGACAUGGCACCCCCACCGUGACCAAGCUUCACUAUACAGAGAGGACACCAGAUGUUCAAAGAGUGUAUU